rnacentral:rRNA from 1 species
GACGAACGCUGGCGGCGUGCUUAACACAUGCAAGUCGAACGCUGAACCCGCUUCGGUGGGGGAUGAGUGGCGAACGGGUGAGUAACACGUGGGCAACCUGCCCCCGGCUCUGGGAUAACUCCAAGAAAUUGGGGCUAAUACCGGAUGUGACCGCUGGCCGCAUGGUCUGGUGGUGGAAAGGGUUUCCGGCUGGGGAUGGCCCCGCGGCCUAUCAGCUUGUUGGUGGGGUAGUGGCCUACCAAGGCGACGACGGGUAGCCGGCCUGAGAGGGUGACCGGCCACACUGGGACUGAGACACGGCCCAGACUCCUACGGGAGGCAGCAGUGGGGAAUAUUGCGCAAUGGGCGGAAGCCUGACGCAGCGACGCCGCGUGGGGGAUGACGGCCUUCGGGUUGUAAACCUCUUUCAGCAGGGACGAAGCGCAAGUGACGGUACCUGCAGAAGAAGCACCGGCCAACUACGUG